rnacentral:rRNA from 1 species
CUGGGGCGUGCUACACAUGCAGUCGACGCUGAAGCCCGAGCUUGCUCGGGUGGAUGAGUGGCGAACGGGUGAGUAACACGUGAGUAACCUGCCUAUCACUCUGGGAUAAGCGCUGGAAACGGCGUCUAAUACUGGAUAUGUCCUGUCACCGCAUGGUGUGCAGGUGGAAAGAUUUAUCGGUGGUAGAUGGACUCGCGGCCUAUCAGCUUGAUGGUGAGGUAAUGGCUCACCAUGGCGACGACGGGUAGCCGGCCUGAGAGGGUGACCGGCCACACUGGGACUGAGACACGGCCCAGACUCCUACGGGAGGCAGCAGUGGGGAAUAUUGCACAAUGGGCGCAAGCCUGAUGCAGCAACGCCGCGUGAGGGAUGACGGCCUUCGGGUUGUAAACCUCUUUUGUCAGGGAAGAAGCGAAAGUGACGGUACCUGGAGAAAAAGCACCGGCUAACUACGUGCCAGCAGCCGCGGUAAUACGUAGGGUGCAAGCGUUGUCCGGAAUUAUUGGGCGUAAAGAGCUCGUAGGCGGCUUGUCGCGUCUGCUGUGAAAACCCGAGGCUCAACCUCGGGCCUGCAGUGGGUACGGGCAAGCUAGAGUGCGGUAGGGGAGAUUGGAAUUCCUGGUGUAGCGGUGGAAUGCGCAGAUAUCAGGAGGAACACCGAUGGCGAAGGCAGAUCUCUGGGCCGUAACUGACGCUGAGGAGCGAAAGCAUGGGGAGCGAACAGGAUUAGAUACCCUGGUAGUCCAUGCCGUAAACGUUGGGAACUAGAUGUAGGGCCGGUUCCACGGGUUCUGUGUCGUAGCUAACGCAUUAAGUUCCCCGCCUGGGGGAGUACGGCCGCAAGGCUAAAACUCAAAGGAAAUUGACGGGGGCCCGCACAAGCGGCGGAGCAUGCGGAUUAAUUCGAUGCAACGCGAAGAACCUUACCAAGGUUGGACCUAUAGAAGAACACUGCAGAGAUGCAGGACUCUUUGGACCUUCUAUACAGGGGGGGGCCUGGGUUGCCGCCACUCGGGGCCGGAG